rnacentral:lncRNA from 10 species
AGAUUGGGUCCGCCUGUGAGACCAGGACCUCGCGGAGUAGCCCAAAGGCUGGGAAAUGCUGAUAAGAGGUUCAGCUGCUCGUCGUAUUCCCUCCGAUGAUCUUGUUUCUACACUAUUUUCCUUCCAGAAACACUGGAGGGGGAUGGGCCAUAAAUUUCAAACACAUGCACCCUUUGAGAGUGGCAUGGGCUUCUAGGAGGCUUUGCGAAAAGCUGACUAAUCACUAAAAUCACCAGAAGCUCCCCCAAAAGUCUUAUGUCUCACAGUGAUUGAGAGAGUGGGGUCUGGAGUUGCUGGGCCUGAGUUGGAAUCUCCAGUCGACCAGUUACUAGGUGUACUAGUUGCAUAACUUUUUUUAGCAGCUUUCCCCACCCCCCCCAACAAACCCUUUUGGAUGUUCUUAGCUUCCGUUUCCUCAUCUGUAAAACGGGGGUGUCAUUGACGACAUUGGUUAUGGCUUGACAUUGCUCAAAUCGUCAUGAAGAUAUAAACUGAGAACAUGAACUUACCAAACACUUAGCACGUGAGCUAGCCCAAAAUCAGCUCUUGAUAGAGAUCAGCUGAUUACAGAUUCUUGACUCUCCCAGAUCUACUGAAUCAGAACCUCCUAGAAGGAGCUCAGGUAUCCCUUAAGAUUAAAGGCGUGAGCCGCCGCGCCUGGCCCAGUGUGUAGUCUUUUAUCUCUCGCCACCCCCCACCUUUUACCCUGAGUCCCCAAAGUCCAAUCUCUGUGCGGUGUCUGUUAACUCUGCUGAUUAUUUCUUUUGCAGUGCCGAAGCUUUUUAGUUUAAUUAAGUCCCAUCUAUUUAUCUUUGUUUUUGUUGCAUUUGCUUUUGGGUUCUUGGUCACAAAGUCUUUGCCUAAGCCAACGUCUAGAAGGAUGUUUCCGAUGUUAUCUUCUAGAAUGUUUAUGGUUUCAGGUUGUAGAUUUAAGUCUUUGAUCUAUCCUGAGUUGAUUUUUGUAUAACGUGAGAGACGAGGAUCCAGUUUUAUUCUUCUACAUGUGGCUUGCCAAUUAUCUCAGCACCAUUUGCUGAAUAGGCUGUCCUUUCCCCACUUUGUUUUCAUUUGCUUUGUUGAAGAUCAGUUGGCUGUAAGUAUUUGGCUUCAUUUCUGGGUUCUCUAUUAUGUUCCAUUGGUCUCUGUGCCUAUUUUUAUAUUAGUACCAUGCUGUUUUUGUGACGAUAGCCUUAUAGUAUAGUUUGAAGUCAGGUAAAGUGAUGCCUCCAGAUUUGUUCUUUUUGCUUAGUCACAGAUCUAAACUCCCCAGAAGGCUGGGCACGGUGACUCACAACUACAGUCCCAGCAGUUUGAGAUGCUGAGGUGGGAGGAUCACUUGAGCCCAGGAGGUCAAGGGUGCAGUGACCUAUGAUCGUGCCACUGUACUCCAGCCUGGACAACGGAGCAAGACCCUGUUUCAGAAACAAAACAAAACAAAAACCAACUCCCUGAC